CUACAAAUACCCUGUAGAAAUCCGAAUUUGUGUAUGUUCGACUACAAAUUCGGUUCUAGAGAGGUUUAUGUA
rnacentral:pre_miRNA from 13 species